rnacentral:tRNA from 1 species
GCCACGGUGGCACAAUCUGGUAAUGCGCAGGAUUGCUACAUGCCCUGGCAAGAACACGAUUUAAUCGAUAUAUGAUUGCCAGUUCCGCGCAGAGAUCCUGUCCCUUUGGGAUUCCCGGUUCAAAAUCCGGGCCGUGGCG